AUGCUUUUCAUUCCAGAUUAAGCGCCUAUAUGGAGUCUGUCCGCUUCGGUGGACUAUGGUGAUAAAUGAUGGUGUGUAAUAGACACAGCGGACCCGGGGGCGGUACCCGGCGGCUCCACCAUUCAAAGCGUUUCGACGCUCUGAUUGAAGGGGCCGAACUAGGAUCGACGUGUGUUCAAAAGCUCUAUUUUUGCCCGGCCUGAGUAUGCCGUGAUUGCUCAAAACCUAUAAGUGCAAACGAUAAUGAAGCACUCGCUAUUGCUGCCUAACCCAUUGACCUCACGGUUAUAAGUUAGAAAGCUAUGCGCGGUUGAACCCACCGGGCAACAGAAGGGAAUUCAGCGGCCGGGGGGUGCCGGGCAACAGAAAUCCCCCACU
rnacentral:tmRNA from 1 species